rnacentral:rRNA from 1 species
GACGAACGCUGGCGGCGUGCUUAACACAUGCAAGUCGAACGGAAAGGCCCUGCUUUUGUGGGGUGCUCGAGUGGCGAACGGGUGAGUAACACGUGAGUAACCUGCCCUUGACUUUGGGAUAACUUCAGGAAACUGGGGCUAAUACCGGAUAGGAGCUCCUGCUGCAUGGUGGGGGUUGGAAAGUUUCGGCGGUUGGGGAUGGACUCGCGGCUUAUCAGCUUGUUGGUGGGGUAGUGGCUUACCAAGGCUUUGACGGGUAGCCGGCCUGAGAGGGUGACCGGCCACAUUGGGACUGAGAUACGGCCCAGACUCCUACGGGAGGCAGCAGUGGGGAAUAUUGCACAAUGGGCGGAAGCCUGAUGCAGCAACGCCGCGUGAGGGAUGACGGCCUUCGGGUUGUAAACCGCUUUCGCCUGUGACGAAGCGUGAGUGACGGUAAUGGGGAAAGAAGCACCGGCUAACUACGU